UGAGUCGGCAAUUCUGCUCAGAAUAAG
rnacentral:piRNA from 1 species